UCCCCUACAGAACUGUCCCCGGUCUCCCCUACAGAACUGUCCCCAGUCUCCCCUACAGAACUGUCCCCGGUCUCCCCUACAGAACUGUCCCCGGUCUCCCCUACAGAACUGUAACUGGUCUCCCCUACAGAACUGUCCCCGGUCUCCCCUACAGAACUGUCCCCAGUCUCCCCUACAGAACUGUCCCCGGUCUCCCUACAGAACUGUCCCCAGUCUCCCCUACAGAACUGUCCCCAGUCUCCCCUACAGAACUGUCCCCGGUCUCCCCUACAGAACUGUCCCCAGAACUGUCUCCCCUACAGAACUGUCCCCAGUCUCCCCUACAGAACUGUCCCCAGUCUCCCCUACAGAACUGUCCCCAGUCUCCCCUACAGAACUGUCCCCAGUCUCCCCUACAGAACUGUCCCCGGUCUCCCCUACAGAACUGUCCCCGGUCUCCCC
ensembl:lncRNA